GAUCUCUCAGGGACUGUAAAAAGCGACGAAUUCUGUAUAACUCUAUCAGGUCUCUAGCAUGUUUACAGGUUUACAGUCAGUUUGUCAAAGGUUAAUUUUCAUAUCUGUCGUUACUGCUCGAUAUAAAGUUCCUGGGAAUCUAAUCGAACGAUUGACGUGUCAAUUGUCGAGUCAUCGAGGCCGUGUUCAACUAUUAUAACCUACGUACUAUAGACUAAUGAUCAUGACUGAAUCUUCAUAAUUAAAAAAUAAAGAUUUUGGUAAAAAAUGUUGAAAGCAGUGAUACUAAUCGGUGGCCCAUUAAAAGGAACUAGGUUUCGACCAUUAUCGCUCGAUAUCCCGAAACCGCUGUUUCCAGUAGCGGGUCUACCAAUGAUUCAGCAUCAUAUCGAAGCAUGUGCCAGGGUUGCUAAUCUCAGAGAAAUCCUAAUCAUUGGAUCUUAUCCAGCUUCUGAUUUACACCAAUUUGUACAAGAGAUGACACAAAUCUAUGGACUCAGUAUUCGAUAUCUACAGGAGUUUACCGCGCUAGGUACAGCAGGAGGAAUGUACCACUUCAGAGAUCAAAUUCGUUCUGGUAGCCCAGAAUCUGUCUUCAUUAUGAACGGAGAUGUAUGUGCCGAUUUCCCAUUGCAAGAGAUGGUCAAAUUUCAUAAAAGCAAACAGUCAUUAAUUACUGUAAUGGCUACAGAAGCCACUCGCCAACAAUCUUUGAAUUAUGGCUGCAUGGUUCUAAAAAAAGGAGGCGAAGUAGAUCAUUAUGUAGAAAAACCCUCUACCUUUGUUUCAACUCUCAUCAACUGUGGAGUGUACAUCACUUCUCCAGAAAUAUUUCAGACUAUGGCUGAUACAUUUUACACUAAUCAAGAGAGGGAAAAUCUUCUACACUUGAACGGCAAUGGAAAAGACCCAGCAUACAUGUCCUUGGAACAAGACAUUCUAAUGAGACUGGCUGGAAGUGAUCGAUUUUUUGCUAUUCCUGUAACUAACUGGUGGUCUCAACUGAAAAGUGCUGGAUCAGCGAUAUAUGCAAAUGGACAUUAUCUUGUCCUAUAUCGCCAUAGUCAACCAGCAAGGCUCAGUGUCACAGUACGUGGCAAAUGUCACAUUAUCGGUGAUGUUUAUAUUCAUGCAUCAGCAACUGUUCACCCCACUGCUGUGUUAGGCCCAAAUGUCAGUGUUGGAGCAAAUGCAAUGGUGGGUCCAGGUGUUCGAAUCCGAGAGUCAAUUGUCCUUGCUGAAGCACAGAUUCAGGCUCAUUCUAUCAUCCUACACAGUAUCGUAGGCAGAGGCAGUAGAGUUGGCGAAUGGGCUAGAGUGGAAGGCACUCCAUGUGACCCUAAUCCGGAUAAACCAUUUGCUAAAAUGGAAAAUCCACCGCUGUUUAAUACUAAUGGAAAACUUAAUCCAUCUAUAACCAUACUUGGUACCUGUGUUUCUCUGUCGGCGGAGAAAAUAUUACUGAACUCUAUUGUCUUACCGCACAAAGAUCUGACACGAAGUUUCAAGAACGAAAUUAUCUUAUAAUAAUUCUAAGGAUUCGAAAUUUGUGAGUGUCAAGUGCAACAAUGAUUGGUAAACGUCACAAUUCCAGCGUUUACACAACCCUGUGAACUACGCACAAUAUAUUUUUAUUUAUAACAAUUAUAAAUAGAGUAAGUUGUAUAAGAAUAUAUCUAGUUAUGUAUGGAAUAGUGUAUACACAUAUACAUAUUGUACUUGUGAUGUACAACGGAAUGAAGCAUAAUAUUUU
rnacentral:misc_RNA from 1 species